rnacentral:rRNA from 1 species
UACGGGGGGAGCAAGCGUUGUUCGGAUUUACUGGGCGUAAAGGGCGCGUAGGCGGUCAGCACAAGUCAGUUGUGAAAUCUCCGGGCUUAACUCGGAAAGGUCAACUGAUACUGUGCGACUAGAGUGCAGAAGGGGGCAACUGGAAUUCUCGGUGUAGCGGUGAAAUGCGUAGAUAUCGAGAGGAACACCUGCGGCGAAGGCGGGUAGCUGGGCCGACACUGACGCUGAGGCGCGAAAAGCCCAGGGGGAGCGAAACGGGG